rnacentral:rRNA from 1 species
AUCUGGGCGGUGGAAUUCAGGAUGACUGUGCGUGUGUGUGUUUUGCCGCGCGCGUACGGUCGUUUGAUAUUUCCGUCGUCGUCGAACAGACACAGACGUCGCGACCUGUUCGUCGUCGGUCCCUGUUCGAAGGAGCCGCGGUCGAGUUCGUUGUGGGCGCGUUUACGCGCGUCACACGGCGAAGCCGCGUGCCUCUGGCCGAUCGACGGACAGUAUGUUUGCAAACACGGUGUCCGUUGCCGUCGUCUCGUACGCGCGGUCAACGGUACCGGUCGGCGACGAAUUCUUCGGGCCUCUUUCCGACCCGUCUUGAAACACGGACCAAGGAGUCUAACGUGCGCGCGAGUCGCGGGGUUACAUAACGAAACCCGUGUUGUGCGUUCGCGCACUCGAAGGCGUAAUGAAAGUGAAUGGGGAGGAUGGCGUUCCGAGUACACGUUCCGCGAUCGCUGGUAUCGCGGCCGGACGUCCGCAUUCCCAGGGCGUCUCAGCGGCCCGUCGCGAAUGUCGGGCGGUCUUCCGCCGGUUCGCGUCGAACCGA